rnacentral:rRNA from 1 species
UACAGAGGGGGCAAGCGUUGUUCGGAAUUACUGGGCGUAAAGGGCGCGUAGGCGGCCUGUUAAGUCGGACGUGAAAUCCCUCGGCUCAACCGGGGAACUGCGUCCGAUACUGGCGGGCUUGAAUUCGGGAGAGGGAUGUGGGAAUUCCAGGGUGUAGCGGUGAAAUGCGUAGAUAUCUGGAGGAACACCGGUGGCGAAGGCGGCAUCCUGGACCGACAUUGACGCUGAGG